AGUGAACGCUGGCGGUAGGCCCAACACAUGCAAGUCGAACGGCAGCACAGUAAGAGCUUGCUCUUACGGGUGGCGAGUGGCGGACGGGUGAGGAAUACAUCGGAAUUUACUUUUUCGUGGGGGAUAACGUAGGGAAACUUACGCUAAUACCGCAUACGACCUACGGGUGAAAGCAGGGGAUCUUCGGACCUUGCGCGAUUGAAUGAGCCGAUGUCGGAUUAGCUAGUUGGCGGGGUAAAGGCCCACCAAGGCGACGAUCCGUAGCUGGUCUGAGAGGAUGAUCAGCCACACUGGAACUGAGACACGGUCCAGACUCCUACGGGAGGCAGCAGUGGGGAAUAUUGGACAAUGGGCGCAAGCCUGAUCCAGCCAUACCGCGUGGGUGAAGAAGGCCUUCGGGUUGUAAAGCCCUUUUGUUGGGAAAGAAAAGCAGCAGGUUAAUACCCCGCUGUUCUGACGGUACCCAAAGAAUAAGCACCGGCUAACUUCGUG
rnacentral:rRNA from 1 species